rnacentral:rRNA from 1 species
CGAACUGUGCGAACGUUAUUCGGAAUCACUGGGCUUAAAGGGUGCGUAGGCGGUUAUCUAAGUCAGGUGUGAAAUCUCUCGGCUCAACCGGGAAACUGCGCUUGAAACUGGGUGACUGGAGGGAUGCAGGGGUGUGUGGAACUUCCGGUGGAGCGGUGAAAUGUGUAGAUAUCGGAAGGAACGCCAGCAGCGAAAGCGGCACACUGGGCAUCUACUGACGCUGAGGCACGAAAGCUAGGGGAGUGAACGGGAUUAGAUACCCCGGUAAUCCUAGCCGUAAACACUGAGCACUGGAGGAGGGAGGCUUCGGCCUUCUUUCUCGUAGCGAAAGCGUUAAGUGCUCCGCCUGGGGAGUAUGGUCGCAAGGCUG